rnacentral:rRNA from 1 species
UGCAACUAGAGUAAUGUCUGUUGUAAACGGCGGCGUUAACGUGAGCGUCCUAAGGUAGCGCGAUAAUUUGCUUUUCAAUUGAAGGAUGGUAUGAAAGGGUUAACGAAGAAGGUGCUGUGUCUAAAAACUCAAUUUAAACUAACUUUAAGGUGAAGAGGCCUUUAUGCAAAAGAAGGACGACAAGACCCUAUGAAGCUUUAUCUUAAUUGGAGCUUUCAGGCUCUUAUACGAUUUUGAUGGGAGAUCAGUAGAAAUAAGUCUUCUACUAUCAUAUUAAUCUUACUAGUAUUUCCUAACCUUAUAUGUGUGGCUAGCUACUCUAGGGAUAACAGCGCAAUUUCUCCCGAAAGAUGGUAUUGGAGGGGAAGAUUGCGACCUCGAUGUUGGCUUUAGAUAUCCUAGA